rnacentral:lncRNA from 1 species
CUCAUGAAACAGGAGUAGAGCCCAAAUCACAUCAGGGCUCAUAGGCCAUGGUACUCUUUUUUUCUUCUUUGAGACAAAUUCUCACUCUGUCACCCAGGCUGAAGCGCAGUGGAGUGAACAGGGCUCACGGCAGCCUCAACCUCCUCAGCUCAAGUGAUCUUCUCACCUUGGCCUCCCAAACUGCUGAGAUUACUGGCAUGAGCCACCGCAUGCAGUCUUCU